AAUCCGCAUAGAAAAAGUCAAGAGUGACAGAUUGGCCGGAGUCGGUGACAGUUUGAGCUCGGACGACAGCGAAGUCAAGCAGCCCCCAUUCUUACAUUUGCCAUCUUACAAAGCUUUAUUAUAGAAUCUUAACAUCGUGUUUACACUGCAAAAGAGCGACGCGAUGCUACAAAACUUAAACCAAACCGUUAGAAUAAUAAUUGAUUAUAACGGGCGCUUUCUAUUUUUGUCGCGUCGCGUGAGAUAAUUACGUAAUUACGCACUUGUGGCGGUUCCCAACAGCUUAUACAAAUAACGUAACGUUGCGCUUGUUUGCUUUGACCAAAAACUUUAGUUUUAGUGAAGUCAAAGACAAGAUAAAGUUAUUUUCAAGACGCAGAACACGGCAAGGAUCAGUCUAAGUGGAGAUGACAUGCUUUUUGGACAUUUAUAUAUUUUCUCUCAAAGUAUUUGUGCUGUCAGCGCUGGAAGAAAAGUCACGGACAUCUGCGAAGAAGUCUCCAAAAGAACGUUCAUCAGACGGAUCUUUCUUAGAAAUACAGACAUUCUGAUUGUAACUUGGGCUGGCACCAAGUCUGAUGACUUUUCCCAGAAGAUUCAGUGAAGACAUAGAGAGAGGGAGCAGAAAGAGAGCCUUCUUGUCCAAUAAGAGGAAAGAGGACUGAAGAAUGUGAAAAGCUCCCAUUCAGGCUGGUUCACAGGGGCUGGGAGCGGCCACAUCCUCAGUAGGGAGGAGGGGUUGACGCUUUCAGGAUGGUGGUCUAGGGUUCUUGGACAGGGGCCAGGAGCGAUGCAGAGGCUCCUCGGAUGACGCUGGUCCGUGGGAGCGUCCAGUGCCCCCGCCUCUCCUCUGUCCCUUAGGACAUCGUCUCUUCACAUUCUAUUUACUCACACAAACAAACUCUCCCAGCAGUCCUUCUACUAUCAGAGCAGAACCAGCCAGUAGUGUGCAUGGUGAGAAAUGAGUCUCUAUUAAUAGAGCAGUUAGAUUAUCUCAAAGACUAAUGACUGGCAUGUCCAGAUUCCUGAAAGGCACAGCAGUGACGUACUUUCAUCCACUGGCAAUGAUCUAAUUUCCUCUGAUAUUCUAUAAAUUCAACUUGUGGUUCUCUUUUUAAAACAGUUUAUAUUUUAUUUGCACACCAUUAUCAUCACCUAUUAUAGUCAAUGAAACCAUUUAUAUGUAACGUGUAUUCAUUUAGCAAACUUUUUAUUUUAUAUUAAGCGACUUACAAAUGAGGAUCAAAGCGAGAAAAAAAGAAAAUUAAAAUGACUGAAGUAAAAAUAAAAAUUGGCAUAAAUGGAAAAAUGUAUAAUGUCCAAAAAUUAAUUGUAGUUCAUAUAUAUAUAACACAUAAAACACAUAAAAAAAAUCUAAAUAUAUAAACUCAAAAUUAUAAAAUGUAUAAAAAAUAAUAAAUAAUAUAAAAACUAUUAACUAAAAUAAACGUAAAAUAAAAUAAACACUAAAUUCAAAAUAUUAAUAGCCUGCUUAAGCAUUCUGCUUGUAUUUGCAUUGAUCGUAAUGCAAUAUUCAGGUAUUCUUGGGUCAAGAAAUUCUUUCCUAUCUAAGCCAUGGCCAGCCCUCCAUCCCAGCCUGUCUUGGGAACCCAUAUGAGCUUCAGGGAGUGUAAACAUCCUACACUCUCAGCUGGAGCCCAGCCCGAGGCUGGGAGUGGGAUGUUUGCGCUCUCUGGCUCAGGAACGCCACGCUCGCUAUGGCUGCACUAUGAAGGGGAAAAACUUACUCUGAAAAAGUCAUCUAGAUGUUCUCAUCUUUUGAGUCACAGUAGACCUGAAAUUACAUCUGACCACUUUGCAGGAAUAUACACUGGAACUAUAAUCCCUGGAGUAGGUAGCAAUCACCUAACUUUAGGGUACUGAUUAAGUGCACUUGUUUGUGUUGCUGUUACUUAAAAUCAAUGCAAAAAAAAAAGUACAGAAAAAGAAGGUUAUGCAAAAUACAGAUAUGAAGAAUUGGCACCAAUUAAUGAGUGUGAAUUAGAAUUAAAUUAUCUACACACCACAGAGGCUGAACUGUAAUUACAGGAAGAGAAAUGUACAGAAUUUUAAUGUAUAGUCAUUGUGUGCAAACCUUAUGUAAAGUAUGUUAAAACGUUCAGGAUAUAAGAAGACAUCUACUUCCUGGACAUUGUGGCUAGAUUUUGAAGUGGAUACGAGAGCUUUGUAACGCACACAGGAAGUGAACUCCAUUGUGAGCUCUGGAAGGGCUCUGAGGGUGAGUGGCCUGUCAUUAAGCUGUUCAGGCUGAAUUCUAGGUUUCUUUGAAGCUUUCUGACCCCACUGGGUGGGACAACUCUGUUCAACUGCAAGCGCCCCCACCCAGACAGAGCUGCCGAUGGAAUUGCCUGAGAGGAAGUGACUAUUUAUACCCGCUAAGGAACAGAGAGAGGCACCCUUCCGAUGGGCGUCUCUCCUCUUGCUUCCUUUGACAAAUUCGUUAGGACUGCUCUCAUGAAAGCUAAACCCAACUCCACAAAGAUAUGCACAACAUCCAGUGCUCUCAAAGAUAUUUGUGCACACACCUAACUGUGUUUUGGUAACCACUCAGCAUUCUCUCUGACUCCAAUGACCUUUACCCCCUUUUGCUUGGUGAUGUCAUAGCUUAAGCAUCUCUUAAAUGUGGCCACUAGGUGGCAGGCUAACUUCAGAAAAUUCAUACUUUGCUUGGAAAGAGCACACACACACACACACACAAAAUGUUAACUAGCCAUCUUUUAGAAAAAGCAUGAAAUGUUAAAACCUCUGAUUAAGCUUUUCCUGUCAACUGGAGGAAUCAAAACAACUGAAGUAUGAAAACAAAGACAUAAUUUAUAAUUAAUGUCGCAUCUUCCCUUCUUGCUUUGCUCUUUGAACUGACUCAGCAAAUUCUUCUCUUGAUGACAGUUAUUUUCAUCUGACUGCAAGAGAGCAACUGAAUUUACACCAAGUUCCUUUCAAAUGUUUCGAACAAUAAUCUCACCCCACAGCUGGAACGGCAAUGGGAAGCUAUGUUAUGUGUAAAGUAAGAACAUUAUUAUAGUAAACAAUGCAUUGUAAACAAUAAACACAUAAGGAAGAAUGUUCUGUGUUGUUCCUUGUUUGUUUAAUAAACCAUAUGCAGCUGA